rnacentral:rRNA from 1 species
UACAGAGGGUGCGAGCGUUAAUCGGAAUUACUGGGCGUAAAGCGUGCGUAGACGGUUAUUUAAGUCGGGUGUGAAAGCCCCGGGCUCAACCUGGGAAUUGCAUUCAGGACUGCGAGGCUUUGAGUGUGGCAGAGGGAGGUGGAAUUCCACGUGUAGCAGUGAAAUGCGUAGAGAUGUGGAGGAACACCGAUGGCGAAGGCAGCCUCCUGGGCCAGCACUGACGCUCAUGCACGAAAGCGUGGGGAGCAAACAGG